rnacentral:SRP_RNA from 1 species
GCUGGGCAUGGUGGCGCAUGCCUGUAAUACCAGCUACUCAGGAGGCUGAGGCAGGAGAAUCACUUGAACCCAGGAGGCGGAGGCUGCAGUGAGCUGAGAUCAUGCUGCUGCACUCCAUCCUGGGUGACAGAGUGAGACCUUGUCUCAA